rnacentral:lncRNA from 1 species
CUUGGGAUGGCAGGUGAUGGAGGCUAAAGCUCUCCCUUCGGUGCCCUGCACACCCACCAGGAUAGAGCUGGGAAUCAGCCCUUUGCAAGGGCCUGAGAGACAAUCACAGCUAUCUCGAUGGGUUCCAGUUCAGAGUCAGUGACCCACCCCUUGUUUUCAGAACCUGCUCAGUAGGCCGUGCUUGUAAAACUGUUUUAAAUAACUCUUGCUAAAGCAGAUAGUACCAGAGAGCAGAAACUCAGCGCCCAGGUCCUUAAUGGUUCCUCCUCUCUAACCUCCUUCCCCUCCCACCCCCGAUAUGUAAACAGUCCACAGCCACACCAGGCUUUGGGAAACAGAAGCCCACUCUUGAUCUUCCUGGGCCACUGCUUCUCAUCGUUGGUCUUUGGGGAUCAAAGACUCCUCUGUCGCCUAACAGCUGCUGUGUACCUCCCACCCCCCACAAGAAACAAGUGCCCAGAUCCUUAAGGACACAGUUUGUUGGAAUAGAGCUAAGAGAGCCCCUGGCUCAGGAGGUGGCUUUCCAAUGGGCCCCUGAGCAGGCAUAGGAGAUGGGGUGGCGGGUCCCAGGCCUCACGGUGAACGUGUUGAUGGGGCUUCCAUAGCGGGUGGUGGUGUGGGGAGACCUGAGAGCAAGAGAAGUGAGGUUAAUAUCUGCAGCUGGUUAGCCAACACGCCUCCCAUCUCCCCCAGGGACCGAGAGGAAAAGAUGCUGCUCAUACUUCUGUAUUUGCCCCCACAAGCCCUGGGCUUAUCGACCCCAGGGAGGGACUGAGACCAUCACAGACAGGGCUCCCAUUCCGGUCUGGGCCCUGCUGGCCAGAGAACAUGCCUAAUAUCCUCUCUCUCAGAAAUCUUUCACUCCUAGCCUGUGUCUGGAUCCAACUCUGUGUUGGGAAAUCCCUCCACCGAAGGCCCACUCAGAUCUCUGCCCGCCCCACACUUAGCCUGACCGCUGGGAUCUAGCGGGUGGGAGAGAGACGAGAGGAGAUGAUGGGGAAAGAGAACAAGGGAGGUCAGGAAGCAGGUCAGGAAGGCGCCAACAGCGCCCUCUCCCGGUAAGUGGGCCUCCCUCCCC